AAAUAUUUAAUAUAUCAUUUAUAAAUUAUACAGAAAUCAUUGGAAUUUAUACGUGAUGGACCUACGUAGAGGUUAUGUAUAUAUUUUCGAUUCUGCUAGAGAUCCACGUCGAACAGAUUAUGCAUGGGGAAUCUUGAGUUUGUAAGUUCUUUUGCUUACAAAUUACAUUAGUCUUUAAGAAACCUAAGCCAAAAUCAUAUUCAUGAGUACCCAUGUUUCGUUAAUUUUCUAGGGCAUACCAAGUGUACAAGUGCAAUGGUGGGCAUUGUCCGAAUAAAACGAGUUUUAAGUCGUGUAAACCCAUUCAUAUAGAGUGUGCUCAACAAAUCGGCGGAACUGAGUGUGGCUAUUACGUUAUGAAGUUCAUGUUAGAGAUAGUCACGUUACAACAUGACUAUGAAGGCCGGCUAGAUGAGGUCUAUACUCCGAGGACUGCGCCUUAUGCUAGUGAGGAAAUUGAUGUGGUUCGUGAGCAAUGGGCGAAGUUUUUUACCACCAAGUAUUUAUUAUUGACCUGAUGGCGCUUGAUUGUGUUGGUUUAGAUGUUAUAGAACAAUCUUUUAUGUUAAAAUGUAUGCGUACGUUGAAAUUGGAACGUAAAUAUAUUUAAAUGUAUCGGUAUGUGCACUUUUGGUUUUGGGAUAUAUACAAAACUCCAGUUGUUGUUUUUAUAUUUGUUAUACAGGUUGCGUUAUUCUAUUAUUGUUUUGACAGGUUUCUAUAUUUGGUGCAAGGCACUCUAGGUAUCCCUAAACAAAAUUAGAAU